rnacentral:rRNA from 1 species
AUGCGGGAUCAGGUCGGCAUCGACCUGGAUGGCUUCCCCCUCGACCACGAGUUCCCGGACGACUACGGGCUAGAGGAAGAGGAUGAGUGCGACAUCGAAGUGGAGCCUUUGUUCGAGAACGAGCUCGCCAACCAAGUCGCCGGUCCUAAGCCGAAGCACAAGAGCAAGCACACGAAGGCAUACACGGCGGCUGAGGACAAGCUUCUUUGCGAGUGUUGGCGAGACAUUGGACAAGACCCCAAGACGGGUGCCGAGCAAAAGCAUUCAACCUUUUGGAUUCGUGUCCACUGAGAGUUUCAUGAACGCAAAAAGUUUCCGCCUUACCAAUUUGUGAGCAUGCGCGGGUGGGUCUCCAUUUCCAAGCGGUGGAGGGUGAUCCAACAAGAGUGCAACAAGUUUUGCGCCACUCUUGAGAGCAUCAAGGCCCGCCCCGUUAGCGGCAUCGGCAUGCAAGACAUGGUAUGCUAG